UCCGCAAGGUUGCCGUUGUUGGUGUUGUUGUCUUGUUCGGAGAUGCAUUUGCGCGUAGAGUGCGACGGGUCGACUGGUGCCGUUAGUGGAAGCCGUCGUAGAGGGCGCGCAAUUUCGGUUGUGCGAAACCUGCGAUUUGGUGGAGACUCGAUUGGUGCUGGUCGAUUUCGUGGGAACGUUGGAGAAUUCGGUUUUGUCGUUGGCGUUUGUUGGGUUUUGUGCUGAACGCAUGCGUACGGUGCUUAAUUUGGCGAACGUUGGCUGGCGAGACACCAUACGUUUAUCCGGUCGUAUAGCCGAUCACUCAUUCGACCCGUCUUGAAACACGGACCAAGGAGUUUAUAGUACACGCGAGUCAUUGAGUCUUCAAAGCUCAAAGGCGUAAUGAAAGUGAAACUGCGAACAGUUGGAACGUGAUCGAUGGAACUUGUUUCGUCGAGCAACGUUACCCCAUUCCUGGAACUUGUUCUGGUGUGGAGGUUGAGCGUGUGCAAUGAGACCCGAAAGAUGGUGAACUAUGCCUGAACAGGACGAAGCCAGAGGAAACUCUGGUGGAAGUCCGAAGCGGUUCUGACGUGCAAAUCGAUCGUCUGAUUUUGGUAUAGGGGCGAAAGACUAAUCGAA
rnacentral:rRNA from 1 species